AGCGAACGCUGGCGGCAGGCCUAACACAUGCAAGUCGAGCGGCCCUUCGGGGCAGCGGCGGACGGGUGAGUAACGCGUGGGAACGUGCCCUUUGGUACGGAACAACUGAGGGAAACUUCAGCUAAUACCGUAUGUGCCCUACGGGGGAAAGAUUUAUCGCCAUUGGAGCGGCCCGCGUUAGAUUAGCUAGUUGGUAGGGUAAUGGCCUACCAAGGCGACGAUCUAUAGCUGGUCUGAGAGGAUGAUCAGCCACACUGGGACUGAGACACGGCCCAGACUCCUACGGGAGGCAGCAGUGGGGAAUCUUGCGCAAUGGGCGAAAGCCUGACGCAGCCAUGCCGCGUGAAUGAUGAAGGUCUUAGGAUUGCAAAAUUCUUUCACCGGGGACGAUAAUGACGGUACCCGGAGAAGAAGCCCCGGUUAACUUCGUGCCAGCAGCCGCCGUAACAC
rnacentral:rRNA from 1 species